CGCUGAGAAGCUUAUAUGGACAAGCGUUAGCCUUUUAAGCUAAAGACAGGUGGCCACCAACCACCCUUAGUGA
rnacentral:tRNA from 1 species